AGUUUAUUGUGUAAUGUUAAACUGAAGCAUGAUUAAGGCUAUUAUCAAUAAAUAUAAAAAAUAUACAAAAAAUAAUCAACAAAAUGCAAAAAAGCUGCAAUAAAUAUAGGAAAAGUAUAAGAAAAAUAUCACAAUACAAUCACAUUGAUCUGAGGAAAGAAAUUGUAAUUUUUACUAAAUGUUGUAUAACAAAGUAAGUGACCAAAUCAUUGACCUGUAAAAAAUAAAUAUGUUCUUCUGAAUUUUGAAAGAUUCUUAAUGUACAAUAUAUAUGUACAUAUAUAAAAUGACUGAAUAAAUAGUCAACGAUUAAUCUUACAGGGCGAUGUUCACAUCGCAAAUAACUAUUUUUAUAUGGCAUAUCUUUUUAAUCUUUGCGCCGUGUUUGGAAGUUUUAAAAUUGUACCAGCGCUUGUGGUGUCCGCUUAAAUUGUAUAAACUUUCAAGAUUUAGAUAGUGUCUCAAUUUGAAUAUAUUGACAUGAUUCAUUGAAAUCUGCUAUUACGAAGAAGGAAUCUGUUAUCCGAAAUUUUGUAUUUGUUCAUUUUAUAGUUAUUUAAUGGUGAUGUUGUACCCUUUUUUGAAUUGUUAUAUAUAUAUAUGUAUAUAAUUUAAUUUUGGAUGUAACGUGUCUUCUGAUUGGCUGACGUUACUUUGUUAUAAGGC
rnacentral:lncRNA from 1 species